AGUAGUUUGAUCCUGGCUACAGGACGAACGCUGGCGGCGUGCUUAACACAUGCAAGUCGAACGAUGAAGCCCAGCUUGCUGGGUGGAUUAGUGGCGAACGGGUGAGUAACACGUGAGCAACGUGCCCAUAACUCUGGGAUAACCUCCGGAAACGGUGGCUAAUACUGGAUAUCUAACACGAUCGCAUGGUCUGUGUUUGGAAAGAUUUUUUGGUUAUGGAUCGGCUCACGGCCUAUCAGCUUGUUGGUGAGGUAAUGGCUCACCAAGGCGACGACGGGUAGCCGGCCUGAGAGGGUGACCGGCCACACUGGGACUGAGACACGGCCCAGACUCCUACGGAAGGCAGCAGUGGGGAAUAUUGCACAAUGGGCGAAAGCCUGAUGCAGCAACGCCGCGUGAGGGAUGACGGCCUUCGGGUUGUAAACCUCUUUUAGUAGGGAAGAAGCGAAAGUGACGGUACCUGCAGAAAAAGCACCGGCUAACUACGUG
rnacentral:rRNA from 1 species